UUUGCUGUUACCUUAUACUCUUGAAAUCUUACUAUGAAUUCUGGUAUAUCCUGUUUAUCAUUACAAUAUAUUUGUUUUAAAUCCCUCCAGACUUCUCAGAGCAGUAUGCUUCUCAGUUUGGAUGGCGCUUUGUCUCAGAAAUCAUGGGAUUUCCAAGAAGCAGCUGUCUUUUCUCCCAGAGCACAAGGGCUAAAUGCUUGGAUGCAACAGAUAUUUAACAAUUGUUGGACAUCUCACAGAUGGGAGCAGAAUUACAUGAAUGUGAAUAUACAUGUGACAAAUCAUAAAGUCCCGUAGAUGAUGAACAGGAGGACCAGUCUCUUAGAUACUGUCUUAAAUGUUAAGUAGUACACCACAUUCUUCUCACUUUCCUUCCAUCUCCUGUCAUUAUAGGUAUGUUGCCCUGUGUUUCCUUCUGAUUGAUUUCUACUUGCCCACUCUCUGUGAUGAGUUCCUGACCUUUUCUGUGAAUUGCUUAAGAAGUCUGUUAUCCUUUCUAAAGGAGAAUAUUACAGAAUAAUCCAGGUAAAAUCAAUGCCACUGUUGUAAUAAUUGAAACAAAUACAGCUAGACUGAAUGGAAUGCAAGAGUAAGAACAUCCUCAUCUGUCACUAAAAUUAGACUCUGUAGUUUUACGACAGGAGAGACUUUACAAAAAGGCAAAAUCUCCUUCAGGAGUCGAACCAGUCCAAAGAAGUUGGUAUCCAUCACAGUUUUCAUCUCAUCUAUGGUCUGACAUUCAAUAGGUCCAAUGAGCCCCAUUCCAGCAUUGCUAACUGCACAAAAUGG